rnacentral:lncRNA from 1 species
AAACCAACGAGAAACAUUUUAUAUAUAAGUGUAAAUAAAAGAAAUAUAUAAGUGUAUAUAAUUAACUGGCAGAAAAUGAAUUAUAAUAGCCUUUAGCCUGAAAAACUUCGGCAUUCCAGUCAGUGUAGUAUUACGUAUAGGAAUGAGACAAUUGCUUAAACGUCCAUUUUCAGCUGCUGGCAGAUUAAAGCGAGUACAGAAAACACUGUAGGAGUUUUUCACUUCGAAUCAAAGAAUAUUUCUCCAUCAUUGGCCAGAAGUUACGGGAGAUUUUUAAUUUAUUGAUUAUUUGUAUAGUAGCGGGAAGAUGGGCAACCGGAGAAAAUUAAGGAUAACGCGAGAUUUAAGGUGUGGUUAGAAGUAUCGAUCGAAAAAAUAAAUCUUUGGAAGGUUAUGGAUAAUUUUCGUUAGACGAAUCGAGGAUGGAAAUUUAAUUAACCCGUUAGUAAAGGCAGAAUCCGAAAUUUCGGUCAAGGAUUAUUUUUAUUAUUUAGAGGAGCCGUACCGGUUGGUAAAUCGGCUUAUGUAUUGUGGCUUGGUUCUUCGUUUUUACGCUGUAUGUUGUGGUCAUCGGAUGCCAAUCGACGGAACCGGGUCACCUUCCACUCCCUAUGUGGGUCGGUAAGUAAAAGACGGGGUGUGGAUUCCCCGGAAAAUAUUUAGAGUAAGGGAUCCGGAAUCGAUCCCGUGAUUCAAUAGCUAAUUUUCGAAUAUGGAAAAUGAAUAGAUACGGAGGACGAAAAAAAGAGAGAGGGCGAUUUAUUGGAGGGGGGAUGCUGCCGAAUAUCACCGGGCCAUGGGUGGCUCCUCUUUCCUAUUUAUCUCUGGCUAAAUUACUUAUUUAUAAAUAAAAUGGCGGCGGUAGGGUUAAUCCCGUGGGAGGAGCGACUGCCCGAAAUGUGUUAUUCUGGUUGUGAAAGCGGACAAGCUUCCCAGCGGGUUUUUCCGACGGGACUUUCACCUGUCUGUAAGGCGAUGGAAGAGGAAAGACGGCGCGUCUCGAUCGAAUUAUCGAUUCGACACCUGUAUCGAAACGUCGUGGCAGAAUCGGCGCUACGGGCAAUUAAUCCCGGUCCGGUCGUCCACACCUACUGGCUCGACCUUACGAGGCGAAACAACCCGUCUUCUUUCGCUGUCUCCAACCAAUUUACAUUUCUCGUCCGUAAAUCCUACUUAUUCUAAAAAAACUGGCCAGUGAUUUGCUUCCGGCAUCCAGUUAUCCAAGCGUUACCAUAGGGUGGACUGGUAAAUUGAUGACUUUCCAACGAUUCCGAAACCCACUUCUCCAAAAUUUUUCUGGAGAGUCGUGUCCCUACCGUUCGACCUUCGCCUUUCAACUCCGAGACAUCCUCUAUUUAUAUACCUAUUGAGCUGUUUGGCUACAUAGCGAAAUAAAUCGAAUCUUCCCUUUCUGGGCUCGAUAUCCAACUCGUUCUUGUAUAAUUUUUGAAAUUGGUUUUCCGUCCUCGAUUACUUCCCACCUAUUUUUAUGACCAAAUUUAAAAUUGCCGCCGCGUUAAAAUGACGCGCCGGCCCUUUUUACCUGAUGGAGUACGAAGAAGCCCUUUUGUGUCGUUCGGAAACUGGACCUCCACCUUUUUUCACCGUAGGUAAAAAUACCUAAGUAAAUACUGUUGAUCGUAUAUUUGUUUUUUUUUUAUCAAGACAUAAACAAUUAAAUCGUUUUUCAUAACGUUUAGCGCCAUUUGCCUGUUGUAUGCCACGAAGACGUUGGUUUUCCAUCUCGGUCUAAUGCCCGUCCUUCGACUACUAAAUUGUUAUUAAAACAUCGAUUUUAUAAGAUGGCUUCCGGCAGGUGGCCUUUACGCUUUUAUGAUAAACGAAGUUAUCUGUAUACGGACGAACGACCGAAGACAGGUGUGGAGUACGUCUAAUUUCGUCACUCCUGUUGAACUGUGGGACAGACGAUUUUUCCAAUUCCGCGUAUAGCUGCGGGAAGGCCACACGAAAUUCCCAUCAUUAGCGUUUAAGUUGAAGUAGCGGGCGCGCUUAAGUCUUAAGUUCAAUUAAAGCGCUAUUAAUAAAAGCGGGACAGAAGGCAUCUGGGUUGGCCAACAAAACGAUAGAAAGUCGUUUAUCUAGCUGCCAUUCGAUAAUAUCUGGUCUGGGCAGUUACAACAAUCGACUGUAAAUUGGCCGGGCUGACCCUAGGCCGUGUUCGACAACCCGUAGAGACAUUGUUCUAUCGUUCUUUAAUCAAUUAAAAUAAAUGCGGGCGGCAACGCUUUCCAUCCCUACCGCCUAAUCCGUCUCCUUUAUUUAAGGGAAAACCACUAAUGACCGCUUUCCCCGUCCCGUAAAUGAACCACUUUCCGUCGUCCCAUCCGUGACGAUUACCAUUUCUUCUUUUAAAAAGUGUUCUUUUUGGCCAGUCUUAUCACUAUCGACGACAGGUUUUCGCCCUUUGGACUCGGGACCGUGUCUUAAUGACUUUAAAUUAUGCCGUUUGAGUGAAAAGUUUCGCAUCUCUUAUUCGUGGCCGUGGCCAUUUCCUAUCCAUGUAUCUGUACCAGCGGUUUCCAAUUUUUUCAUAAACGCCUAUCACUAAAAUCAAACUUCAAAAAUUUCAGUACCAUCCCUUGUAUACAAAUAAGAAGUCAAGACGUAUCACUUGGCGUGUCUGGCGUAUCAUUAGUAGUGCGCGUACCGCUGGUGAUACGCGCAGGUUGAGAACCGCUGAUCUAUAACGCGGAUGAUCCAUACGCAACGUUCUAAACUUUCUCAGAUGGUCCUGUUUAGAAGGUUUCUAUCCAUUUUCGUGGUAAAUUUGAGGCGGACUGCUCGGUACUUCAAAUUUUCGCACUGUAUUUCCCACAACUCGUUUUUCCGGUGGAUAAAAUUCGUAUUUCAAAAUGUGAAAUUUAGAAUGUUCUUCCCGUUUGUCGGAGUUAAUCGUAUUUAUUCGGAAGAGGAGAAUAAUUAAAAUUUUAUUUUUACGAUUUUAUAGGAUUUUAAAUUAUAUUAGAUUU